GUAAGCAAUGAGGUUCAUUUGAUAUAUGAAUCUAUUUUUGUUAGGGUUUAGAUAGAAAUUAGAAGAAGUAAAGAUAGAAAUGAAUGAAUCCAUGUCUAUCUCAAAAUUUUUAAACUAAUCCAUUACAUACCUGAAGUCAAAGAACAAGAAAGACACAAAGAAGUCCUAGCUGUAGCCUGAUGCCUGAUUUAUGAUCAUAGGCAACUCUGCCCCUUUGUGGCACAAAACCAAUCUCCUACAGGUCAUAAAUUCAGAAAAUUCUCAAGUGCUGUUCACUGUCACCUAAACGUGAAAAUCAAAUGCCUAGAAAAUACUGUGAUUUUUAUGGGCCCAGGAGUAAUGGGAUAGAACAUAGAAGUAUUUUUGAUUUGAGUGAAUCAAAGCUUCACACAUUAGACUUCUUUCUCAAUGUAGGUGUUUGGUAGGUAGCCUGCCAUGAGCGAUGCAGCUUCUCAUUUUUCUAUGUGCUGUGAACAAGUCCUCUUGUGUCUUUCAAUCUUCUGCUGUAGGAUCAAUCUAGCCUAUCUGGGAAAUUAAAAAAUAUAGAUUGUAUAGAAGGUUGUUCUAUGUUCACCUUGCAGGUGUCAUGUGUCAUUUCCAUCCACAUUCCAAGUCCAGAAUCCAGUCCCAUAGUCAUAGCUAAAUAAAUAGUGGUGGAAAAUUUAAGCUAAUUUGACCAAAAGAGAGAGAAGUUUGGCUAACAAGUAACCAAUGUCUCCCUUUCCUAUUACAUGUGUUACAUAGGUGCAGAUUGCACUGACAGAUUCAUGACCCUGAAAGAAAUGUAAAUGGAGAUAAAAACUACUUCCUUAGAGAAGAAUCACCAGAAGAGGAGCCGAAAGUCAACAGAACAGACCAGACCAAACAGCGUUAUGCAGACACCAAAAACAGCUGUAGUGGUCAUUGAUGAUUUUGAAGUAUAAGAAGAUAUGAAAUACAAGACAAGAAGAUGGGUUCCCAAUUCACUAUUUGAAAGAGCAUAUCCAGUAAAACAAGAAAGAGAAAUCAAAUUAUGUUGCAUGAAGUCAUUGAACAUUUUGUCAUGCCUUUUUUUCUAGAAAUUUUACCUACUAUAAUCAAGACAAAAACAAAAAAAGGAUGAGAGAAAAUUUCUGUACUUUGGACAUC
rnacentral:lncRNA from 1 species